rnacentral:snoRNA from 1 species
UUCUUAUGAUGAAAAACAAUUAAUCAGUUCUGCUUCUGAACUUCUUGUUGAAACCCAAAAUACCAAAAACUUUCUGAUAG